CCAAUGCAACGUACGCCGGCUGGGACGGGGCGGGGAUAGAGUUGAUUGGCAGAGCGUGCUCCUAUCGCUGAAGCCGUUGUUCCUUGGGUCGCUGAGGGGAGGAGACGAGCGGCGUACGCGGAGGCAGCUUUCUCGACCUUCAGGCGCCCGGAGACAAGCUGGAGGUAGCUGGCGGGAGGUGGCUGGCGGCAGGUAGCUGGAGGACCGCCCUUCCGGUACCCGUGGAGCUGUUGUUCUCCCUGCCAGGCCCGGGAGUGCGCACGUUCCUGACCCAGUCUGGCCCGGCUCGGGCUGGCAGCCAAAUCCGCUUCUGCGCACGGGUAGUGAGUCCUCGGCCAGGACGCGCAGCCCCGGAGCCCGCGCGGACGACCUUGACCAUCUCGGCCGGCUGUUUCCCCCUGAGAGAAAUGACAGGAAUCUCUAAAGAGUGAGAGGAAAACUGAUGACAGGCACUGCCCAAAGAAGAUGGAACUGUCAUAGUUGGCACGCAGUGGCCACUAAAGCCACAGGAAGAUACUAUCACCCAAGGGAAGGAGAAGAGGGCCUCGGACAGCAGCUUUAGGAGCACCAGCAUUUCAGGGCUGCAAAGAGAACGAGAAGACUCCCCCAAAAAAGAUUCACAGGAAGGAGGAGGAAAACAAUGAGAGAGGAUUUCGGAGAUGCUGGAAGAAGUUCUCCUGUUAUCUGGGAAUCAGCUUAAAAGCCUCAAGUUAUGUUUAAACUGUGCUUCUCAUUUCCUUUUUAACAGUAUCAUAGAUAAAGAUUGACUGAAUAUGUUUAAACUGAAGGCAUAGCCUAUAACUUCAAAGAGUUUACUGGCUCCUACAGUCUACUGGGAGGCAAAAUUAGUGUAAGGGAAACAGUUGGAGAGCAGUUGAGUAUUAAUUAUGUGUUACAAGCCCUUGGGCACCAAAAGUUCAGGGAGGAGAAAGCUG